rnacentral:lncRNA from 1 species
AUUCUAACCUAAAAGACCAAACAAACCAGCAAAUUGAUGGUUCUCAGCUACCUGUAAAUAUGAUGCAACCACAGGUAGCCGCUCCUCCCACUGUCACUCAGGGAUUGCCACCACUACCGCCACUGCCACGACCACCACCCUCCCAGCAAGUCAACUACAUAGCUGCACAGCCAGAUGGAAAGCAACUGCAGGGUAUUCCUAAUGCUUCUCAUGUAAGUAAUAACAUGAGUACACCAGUCUUGUCUGCUCCGACAGCAGCCCCAGGAAAUACAGGAACAGUUCAGGGACCAAAUUCUGGUAACACUUCGUCAUCGAGUCACAGCAAAGCCUCUAAUGCUGCUGUAAAAUUGGCAGAAAGCAAAAAAUUACAAAUUCAAGAAAAAGCAGCACAGGAGGUAAAACUGGCGAUUAAGCCAUUUUACCAAAACAAAGAUAUCACCAAGGAAAAAUAUAAGGAGAUUGUAUGGAAAGCAGUAGAUAAAGUUUGUCAUAGUAAGAGUGGAGAAGUAAAUUCUACUAAAGUGACUAAUCUGGUUAAAGCCUAUGUAGACAAAUACAAAUACUCAUGGAAGGGGAGCCAAAAGAAAACUGUGGAGGAGCCUGUGUCUGCUGAAAACAACAUAGGCUGAGAUGAGGAAUGCUAUAAAGGACAUCAUCAAGAUACCUGCGAAGUGCAAUUUCAACAUGUACCAUCAGGAGAAAAUCAUGCAUAACUGUGACUGAAAUCGGUUUUGAUAAAAUUAUUUUUUUUAAUGUAGGAUAGGCUGUUUUGUUCUAAAUAAAUAUAAUUCUGCACUGCAACUUCCAUAUCCACACCCUCACCUCAAAUAAAUAAAUUCAAGAGAAAGUAAAAGGUUUUUUUUUUAAAAAAGGAGUGGUGAUAGUGGACAUCCUUGUCUUCUUCCUGAUUUUAGUGUGAAGGAUUUCAGUUUUUGACCAUUUAGUAUGAUAUUGGCUGUUGGUUU